rnacentral:rRNA from 1 species
ACGGAAUAAUUGUUGGAAACGGCAACUAAUACCGUAUACGCCCUACGGGGGAAAAAUUUAUUGCUAUUAGAUGAGCCUAUAUUAGAUUAGUUAGUUGGUGAGGUAAAGGCUUACCAAGACAAUGAUCUAUAGCUGAUCUGAGAGGAUGAUCAGCCACACUGGAACUGAGAUACGGUCCAGACUCCUACGGGAGGCAGCAGUGGGGAAUAUUGGACAAUGGGCGAAAGCCUGAUCCAGCCAUGUCGCAUGAGUGAAGAAGGCCUUUGGGUUGUAAAGCUCUUUUAGUGAGGAAGAUAAUGACGGUACUCACAGAAGAAGUCCUGGCUAACUCCGUGCCAGCAGCCGCGGUAAUACGGAGAGGGCUAGCGUUAUUCGGAAUUAUUGGGCGUAAAGGACGCGUAGGCUGAUUAAUAAGUUAAAAGUGAAAUCCCGAGGCUUAACCUCGGAAUUGCUUUUAAAACUAUUAAUCUAGAGAUUGAAAGAGGAUAGAGGAAUUCCUGAUGUAGAGGUGAAAUUCGUAAAUAUUAGGAGGAACACCAGUGGCGAAGGCGUCUAUCUGGUUCAAAUCUGACGCUGAGGCGUGAAGGCGUGGGGAGCAAACAGGAUUAGAUACCCUGGUAGUCCACGCUGUAAACGAUGAAUGUUAAAUAUGGGAAGUUUACUUUCUGUAUUACAGCUAACGCGUUAAACAUUCCGCCUGGGGACUACGGUCGCAAGAUUAAAACUCAAAGGAAUUGACGGGGACCCGCACAAGCGGUGGAGCAUGUGGUUUAA